rnacentral:rRNA from 1 species
GCUGAUAGCCUGCCGCGUGUGUGAAGAAGGUCUUCGGAUUGUAAAGCACUUUAAGUUGGGAGCGGCCUCCUUAAUACCUUGCUGUUUUGACGUUACCAAAGAAAGCUCCGGCUAACUUCGUGCCAGCAGCCGCGGUAAUACGAAGGGUGCAAGCGUUAAUCGGAAUUACUGGGCUUCUAGACUCGAGAGGGGUGGUUCAGCAAGUUGGAUGUGAAAUCCCCGGGCUCAACCUGGGAACUGCAUCCAAAACUACUGAGCUAGAGUACGUAGAGGGUGGUGGAAUUUCCUGUGUAGCGGUGAAAUGCGUAGAUAUAGGAAGGAACACC